CUACGGGAGGCAGCAGUGAGGAGUAUUGCACAAUGGGGGGAACCCUGAUGCAGCAACGCCGCGUGGAGGAUGACGCAUUUCGGUGUGUAAACUCCUUUUAUAUGUCAAGAAAAUGACGGUAGCAUAUGAAUAAGCACCGGCUAACUCCGUGCCAGCAGCCGCGGGUAAUACGGAGGGUGCAAGCGUUACUCGGAAUCACUGGGCGUAAAGGACGCGUAGGCGGGUUGGAAAGUCAGGUGUGAAAUCCUACAGCUUAACUGUAGAACUGCACUUGAAACUUCUAAUCUAGAGUAUGGGAGGGGGAGAUGGAAUUAGUGGUGUAGGGGUAAAAUCCGUAGAUAUCACUAGGAAUACCUAAAGCGAAGGCGAUCUCCUGGAACAUUACUGACGCUAAGGCGUGAAAGCGUGGGGAGCAAACAGGAUUAGAUACCCGUGUAGUC
rnacentral:rRNA from 1 species